GAGGUUGUAGCUCAGUGGCAGAGCACCUGCUUGGCAUGCGUGAGGUCCUGGGUUCAAUCCCCAGGACCCCCA
rnacentral:tRNA from 1 species